CCAGACUCCUACGGGAGGCAGCAGUGAGGAAUAUUGGUCAAUGGGCGGGAGCCUGAACCAGCCAAGUCGCGUGAGGGACGACGGUCCUAUGGAUUGUAAACCUCUUUUGUCGGGGAACAAAGGCGCCCACGGGUGGGCGGAUGAGUGUACCUGAAGAAAAAGCAUCGGCUAACUACGUGCCAGCAGCCGCGGUAAUACGUAGGGAGCGAGCGUUGUCCGGAAUUACUGGGUGUAAAGGGAGCGUAGGCGGGACGGCAAGUCAGAUGUGAAAACUGAGGGCUCAACUUUCAGACUGCAUUUGAAACUGCUGUUCUUGAGUGAAGUAGAGGUAAGCGGAAUUCCUAGUGUAGCGGUGAAAUGCGUAGAUAUUAGGAGGAACAUCGGUGGCGAAGGCGGCUUACUGGGCUUUUACUGACGCUGAGGCUCGAAAGCGUGGGGAGCAAACAGGAUUAGAUACCCCAGUA
rnacentral:rRNA from 1 species